rnacentral:tRNA from 1 species
GUCUUUGUAGCUUAUAAAAAGCAUGACUCUGAAGAUGUCAAGACAGUUGCCACCCAGCAUCCAAAGACA